AAAUUAUGACAGGAAAUUAAUGGGUUAUUGGUUUUUCGGGUGUUUGAAUUGGGAGGGGGGGGGGGGGGGGCGAAGAGGGGUAUAAUUUUGUGGUAGAAAAAGCAAAUGGUAGUAGUGAAAUAUCCAGUUUCACAUUUUUCAAAAAAAAA
ensembl:ncRNA Y54E10A.23 ncRNA